GAUGAACGCUGGCGGCGUGCCUAAUACAUGCAAGUCGGGCGAACAGACGAGGAGCUUGCUCCUCUGACGUUAGCGGCGGACGGGUGAGUAACACGUGGAUAACCUACCUAUAAGACUGGGAUAACUUCGGGAAACCGGAGCUAAUACCGGAUAAUAUAUUGAACCGCAUGGUUCAAUAGUGAAAGACGGUUUUGCUGUCACUUAUAGAUGGAUCCGCGCCGCAUUAGCUAGUUGGUAAGGUAACGGCUUACCAAGGCGACGAUGCGUAGCCGACCUGAGAGGGUGAUCGGCCACACUGGAACUGAGACACGGUCCAGACUCCUACGGGAGGCAGCAGUAGGGAAUCUUCCGCAAUGGGCGAAAGCCUGACGGAGCAACGCCGCGUGAGUGAUGAAGGUCUUCGGAUCGUAAAACUCUGUUAUUAGGGAAGAACAAAUGUGUAAGUAACUAUGCACGUCUUGACGGUACCUAAUCAGAAAGCCACGGCUAACUACGUG
rnacentral:rRNA from 1 species